rnacentral:lncRNA from 1 species
GAAGAAUUAUUUUCCUUUUUAUCCCAAAAAAAUAUUACACAAGUCUGCAAUCUGAACUUAUUUGUAUGUUGUUCAAUUUCAAAACACUAAAGAAAUGCAUGAUCAGUGAUAUAUAAAACCUGCAAAUAAACACAUAACGAUCCAUUUAACUUUUCUUUAACUCUAGCUCUGCAAAGGUAAAAAAGAAUUGGAUUUACAAGCAGAUGAUGUGUUGUGUUUCCUCUUCCUGAAGACACCGAAGCCUUUCUCCCACGAAUGGGAAAUACUUCUAAAGUUUGUUACUUACUCUCCGACAACAGAUUCAUCCCUCGGUGGCAGCUUUGUCGACUUUUAAGACCCUCUCCGUCGAAAUUGCUUCUGUGGCUUGGCUCUGGACUCAUGACUAUAAAUCCCCGAUCUGAUCUUUCAACAAUCAGAUCUGAAGUCUCCUCUCCCUGCCUUCAUUUCAUGUGAGUGGCCAUGGCAAAAAAGAAUUUCGGCCUCGCUCUCUACUCAUCGCUCAGACUCUCAACUGCAACUUCAAUCUAUAAAUGCCGAAACCCAAGAUUUAAGAGAGUUUUGAAUUUUUGAUAUGAAGAUUCAGAAAGUUAUUCAUGGAAAAAACAGAAACGUGAAUGGAUACCUAAGUGAAUAGAUAGCAAGACUUAUGAUCACCUCUCUCUUUUUUUUGAGGUUGACCUAUAAUAACCUAUGAUAUAUAUUUCAGGUGCUUACUAUUCUAAUUGUCUGAAAAUAUUAGUUUCUUUAGACCACCCUUUAGUAAC